rnacentral:rRNA from 1 species
GACGAACGCUGGCGGCGUGCCUAAUACAUGCAAGUCGAACGCUUCUUUCUCACCGAGUGCUUGCACUCACCGAGAAAGAGGAGUGGCGGACGGGUGAGUAACACGUGGGUAACCUGCCCAUCAGAAGGGGAUAACACUUGGAAACAGGUGCUAAUACCGUAUAACAAUCGGAACCGCAUGGUUCUGUUUUGAAAGGCGCUUUCGGGAGUCGCUGAUGGAUGGACCCGCGGUGCAUUAGCUAGUUGGUGAGGUAACGGCUCACCAAGGCAACGAUGCAUAGCCACCCUGAGAGGGUGAUCGGCCACGCUGGGACUGAGACACGGCCCAGACUCCUACGGGAGGCAGCAGUAGGGAAUCUUCGGCAAUGGACGAAAGUCUGACCGAGCAACGCCGCGUGAGUGAAGAAGGUUUUCGGAUCGUAAAACUCUGUUGUUAGAGAAGAACAAGUGGGAGAGUAACUGUUCCCGCCUUGACGGUAUCUAACCAGAAAGCCACGGCUAACUACGUGCCAGCAGCCGCCGUAAAAC